UCCACAGUAGCUCAGUGGUAGGGCUAUCGGCUGUUAACCGAUCGGUCGUAGGUUCGAGUCCUACCUGUGGAGCCA
rnacentral:tRNA from 1 species